GGAAUUACAAAUCAGUAAUUGCAGCAUAAUUUGAAGAAUAAAAGACACAACCAAACAACAAUAAAAACGCAUGAACAUAUCUAAAAUUAGCCUAAACUGGUAUAUAUUUGUUUGUAGGAUUCAUAUAGGAAUCAAUAACUAAAUAUCGCUCAUGAACUUUCGUCUGAGAUAGGGUUGUCAAGUCCGCUACGGGUGAAUUAAUGGUCUCAUGAAUGUGUGACUAAUAAUUUCGAAGGCUCGACAUUUUUCACCAGGAUUUGACCGAUUACAGCAAAGUUUAUGUUCCGGUGAAAAGCGGAAACAGUCUCAAAGAAGGGGUUGGCGCUUCAAUACCGGUUAGGUUCAAACAAUUUCGUAAUUCGCUUGAGUCUCGUCGGAAUUGAAACCAGAAUGGCUGGUGAUUUCAGUGCAAUUUAACCAAACAAAAUCCUUAACCAAGAACUUGAAUGACUUCCAAAACCAAACUGGCAUUGCAAUGUGAUGUCUACUCUUGUGAGAUCAUAUGACUACUGUUCAGAUACAUAUGCCAAAGUAUCGAAAAAAUCUUUUUGAGUUAGACAUGAGUUGAAAGAAACUAACAUAGGUUGUUGAGAUGAGGUUUCUCAACCAUGUUGCUUUCACGGUGGCAGGACGCAUCCUCAAAAAUAUAAGAGGU
rnacentral:lncRNA from 1 species